ACUCAAAGGAAUUGACGGGGGCCCGCACAAGCGGUGGAGUAUGUGGUUUAAUUCGAAGCAACGCGAAGAACCUUACCAGCCCUUGACAUCCUAGGACGGUUUCCAGAGAUGGAUUCCUUCCAGCAAUGGACCUAGAGACAGAUGCUGCAUGGCUGUCGUCAGCUCGUGUCGUGAGAUGUUGGGUUAAGUCCCGCAACGAGCGCAACCCUCGCCUUUAGUUGCCAGCGGUUCGGCCGGGCACUCUAAAGGGACUGCCGGUGAUAAGCCGGAGGAAGGUGGGGAUGACGUCAAGUCCUCAUGGCUCUUACGGGCUGGGCUACACACGUACUACAAUGGCGGUGACAGAGGGCAAAUCCCUAAAAGCCGUCUCAGUUCGGAUUGUGCUCUGCAACUCGAGUGCAUGAAGGUGGAAUCGCUAGUAAUCGCGGAUCAGCACGCCGCGGUGAAUACGUUCCCGGGCCUUGUACACACCGCCCGU
rnacentral:rRNA from 1 species